UGUUCUAUUGUCUGGGGAUAAAAACAAUCCGUACUUCCUAAAGCAGUUGUUCGGAUUAAGUAAGGCAAAACCCAAGGUGCCAGGAGAGGGCUUGCAGAAAGUGCUCUGAGCCCCAAGUCCUGAAGAACAGUUGCUGGGGAGGGAGGCAGAGAAAGCUACUGGAAUCCAGGGUGGAGCCUAAUCACUUCAUCAGGCCUUGGAAGGGAGGGUGACUUUGGAGGUGGGCUUUAUUACAGCCCGCUCAAGUCUGCGGGCUGGGCCCUGGCACUGCCCUGGAGGCAGACAUGCAGGCUGGCGGCCAGCGAACUGAAGAGCCUCCUCUAUCUGCACGGUGAUCAACAGCAAGACAACACGCUUGAAGGCGCCACCCCAACCCCAACGUUUGGGCUGUCUGGCCCAGGAGAGACCACCUUGCCAGGGCGGGUUUGAGCUAGCUUCAAAGACAUCUCCAUGGUCUGAUUCCCCAAAUAUGGACCUUCUACCUUGGUCCAAGCUCUCGUCGUAGAGGACAGAGAAUCGAGACCAGAAAAGAGACCGGCGGUGCAGAGUUUUUCAGAGAUUUAAACUUUCCAUGACGCUUAAACUUCGUGUGCGUGCAUCCUCCCAGUCUUCGGGAGGACCCUGCAACUGACCAGGAGAGGCAGCAGGACUCUCCGCGGCCCCCGGGACCAGCUGUCACCGGAGCUGGGUUGGAAUCAGUGCUCUCAGGACCACCUAGGGAGUGCACCUGCUCUAGGGUGGGACAAAAGCUGGCCCUGGCGGGGACAGAAGCCUCUGGAGCUGUCUGCUCUGGAGUUCGUCGGGUGAGGCAGAGCGGUAACAGGAGGCUUUCUGUGUGGCUCUGAGACUUCUCCCCACGUGGCUGCUUGGCGUGAAGACAGAGAUGUGAUGAUGUGAUAGUGUGGCACUUGGGUGUGGGCAGACCUCAGGGGUCCUCCCAGCAUAGGCAUCAAGGUCUUCAAUGAACAAACGCUUGACUUCUCUGCA